rnacentral:rRNA from 1 species
UACGUAGGGUGCGAGCGUUAUUCGGAAUUACUGGGCGUAAAGCGUACGCAGGCGGUUUGUUAAGUCUGAUGUGAAAGCCCCGGGCUCAACCUGGGAACUGCAUUGGAAACUGGCAAGCUCGAGUAUGGCAGAGGGGGGUGGAAUUCCGCGUGUAGCAGUGAAAUGCGUAGAGAUGCGGAGGAACACCGAUGGCGAAGGCAGCCCCCUGGGCCAAUACUGACGCUCAGGCACGAAAGCGUGGGGAGCAAACAGG